rnacentral:lncRNA from 1 species
AGUGUGAGAAAGAGUUGAAAAUUCAUUUUUUAGCCUGUGAUUAUGAGUUGUCCUAGCAUCAUAUGUUGCAAAGACUCUUCUUUCUCCAUUGAAUUGUCUUUGUGACCUUGUCAAAAAUUAAUUAACCAUAAAUAUAAAGAUUUAUUUCUGGACUCUCAAUCCUAUUCCAUUGUUCUAUAUAUCUAUCCUUAGGCCAGUAUCUUCCAGAGGCAAAAGAUCAUCAGGGUGGCUUUUAGCAGUGGGAAUCCCAGAAGAGCCCACACGGCACCCAGUGGAGAGUCGUUUCAGAGAGUGCAGAGCCAGCUCCCAUGAUACCAGUGAAGGACCUUACAGAUGGGACAAGAGGCCCAGGGAAAUGGAGGACCUGACUUGCUCACACAGCAGAAUCAGAACUAAGACCCAACCAUCCUACCUCUCAACUGAGAGUAACUUCUGCCAGAUCACAGACCUUCUUCUGGGGAAAAGCAAACUAAGACCAUACUUACAAGAAAAGAGGAUACCAGG